CGCUGCCGAGCCGCUCGGUGCAGCCCGCCCGCCGCCCGGCACCGCCGCGCAGGCGCCGCUCCCGCCCGGGUCCUAGCGCGGACCGCGCCCGCCGCCGGGACGGGGGUGCCCGCUCCGGGACCCGGGCUGCGGGCACAGCGCCCUCCCGCCCCGCGCACCCACCCGCACCGCGCGGCGCUCACACCGAGAGUCCCCUUCGGGAGCGGCGGGGGUCCCGGGGCUGCCCCUCGCUCGGCUCCGAGUGACACUCUGGGGCACCACUGACAUGAGUCACGGCUGUGCUCGUCCUGCCUGGACCCGAAUGGCUGAAGGGCACAAUUCAACAUCUCCCCAGGCGUAAAAUUCUUGCCUCACGAGCAGGGGUACCCAGGGCUGUCCCUUCCUAUCAGGUUGUGCUUUUAUUCGGUUCCACGCACCUACACCACUUCUCCAUCUUUUCCUAUUGCUCACUUGGGUUUUUUUCUGAACGCCUAUGUUGGUAGGAAGUUGCAAUUUGGGUUUGUGUUUUCUAUUCUUUUUUUGUUCUCAUUAAUACACAAAUAAUGACAAGGGAAGUUUCGAAAAACCCCAGCUCCUGUUUUGCAAGGAGCUUGAAGAACAGCAAGAAGAUGGUUGUAUGCAAAGGAAGUAAGAGAGGGAGUCAGCACAAGGGUUCAAGAAGGAGCAGAUGGAAACAGCUGCCAACAGAUGAGUACUGGAAUGAAUUCAAGCCACACUACUUGCUGGAACUUGAGAGUUUGUGAGCUGAGUUUUGGGCCUGAGCUUUCCCAACCACAGAGUAUAGACCUCCAGGUUCUGUCUGAAGACUGUGAAUAUCUUUGCCAUUUCUGCACCAACAAACCUUACAUUAUGGAAAGAUGAUAAAACAGAGCAUGGAGUUCACCAAGCAAUGAUUUCAGGAAGAAAUGUAGUUAAUAUUUUUCCCAGCAGAUGUGGCUGUUGGACCAGAAAAGGCUCAAGUUUGUUGUGGAAUAUUGAAAGUAGGAAAAAGAUCCUCUUCAUUCUCAUACUGGCAAAUGAUCUGAUGAAAUGUAAAAUUGGAGCAUUUAUUACAUUGGGAGACCUUUACAAAGUUGGACUUUGAUGAAGAUGAUGAGUGGCCAGUCCUGCCUCAGAAUCUCCUCUGAUCUGUGGAAGCCUGGGCUGCUCCACAGAAUGGUCCCAUGCCUCGACACUGGUUUAUCAUCCACCAUGACCCCAAGCUCAUGGAUGAGGAAGGAAUACCCAUGGCUGCUACCAUCCCCGCCCCUCUGGCUUCAGAAAAAUCACCAAGCUUGGAGCAUGACUGCCCCAGGAAGAAGGAGAAGUAACUGCAUUGCUCUGCUCAACACAUGGCAGCUUGCUCCUCUCCUCUCCAGAGAACAUUGACCUUCAAGGCCAUACAUGAUUAAAGGAUUGGGAGACAUUCCCUGGUAUUAGCUGUUCCCUCUUUCUUUUUCCUGCUUAAGGUAAGAGCUGCACAAACUCCCUCUAUAAUAGUCACCUAACAGAGAACACAAUGACUAAUCUGUCAUCAAAGUAUUUAGGGACGAUGACGAUACCUACAUUGAUUUUCAGUGUGCUUUUUGUUUUUAUUUCACUGUGAUGUUUCUACAAAAUCCAUAAAUCAUAGGGAUGUGAUAAGACACAGGUUGUAGUUGCUGGUUAUUCUUGUCCAGAUGCACAGAAACACCCUGAUUGUUACUUUCCAAUGACAACCAGCUCAGGGCUAAACAUUUUUCAGUUGCACAGCCAGCUUUCAAGGUUACACAUAGAUACUGAAUGAAACAGAGCCCACUGGUUAUUUUUAGAGAGGCUCUA